GAGGGUAUAGCUCAGUGGUAGAGCACAUGCUUAACAUGCCUGAGAUCCUGGGUUCAAUCCCCAGUACCUCCU